rnacentral:rRNA from 1 species
CAGCCGCCGCGGUAAUACGAAGGGGGCUAGCGUUGCUCGGAAUCACGGGGCGUAAAGGGUGCGUAGGCGGGUCUCUAAGUCAGGGGUGAAAUCCUGGAGCUCAACUCCAGAACUGCCUUUGAUACUGAAGAUCUUGAGUUCGGGAGAGGUGAGUGGAACUGCGAGCGUAGAGGUGAAAUUCGUAGAUAUUCGCAAGAACACCAGUGGCGAAGGCGGCUCACUGGCCCGAUACUGACGCUGAGGCACGAAAGCGUGGGGAGCAAACAGGAUUAGAUACCCCGGUAGUCCCUGUCUCUUAUAU